rnacentral:rRNA from 1 species
AGAGUUUGAUCCUGGCUCAGGACGAACGCUGGCGGCGUGCCUAACACAUGCAAGUCGAGCGGAGACAGUGAGUAGCUUGCUAUGAGCUGUUUUAGCGGCGGACGGGUGAGUAACGCGUGAGCAACCUUUCCCAGACAGGGGAAUAACACACCGAAAGGUGUACUAAUACCGCAUAAGACCACGGGAUCACAUGGUUCUGGGGUAAAAGAUUUAUCGGUUUGGGGUGGGCUCGCGUCCGAUUAGGUAGUUGGUGAGGUAACGGCCCACCAAGCCGACGAUCGGUAGCCGACCUGAGAGGGUGAUCGGCCACAUUGGGACUGAGACACGGCCCAAACUCCUACGGGAGGCAGCAGUGGGGAAUAUUGGGCAAUGGAGGAAACUCUGACCCAGCAACGCCGCGUGGAGGAAGAAGGUUUUCGGAUCGUAAACUCCUGUCCUUGGAGACGAGUAGAAGACGGUAUCCAAGGAGGAAGCCCCGGCUAACUACGUGCCAGCAGCCGCGGUAAUACGUAGGGGGCAAGCGUUGUCCGGAAUAAUUGGGCGUAAAGGGCGCGUAGGCGGCUCGGUAAGUCUGGAGUGAAAGUCCUGCUUUUAAGGUGGGAAUUGCUUUGGAUACUGUCGGGCUUGAGUGCAGGAGAGGUUAGUGGAAUUCCCAGUGUAGCGGUGAAAUGCGUAGAGAUUGGGAGGAACGCCAGUGGCGAAGGCGACUAACUGGACUGUAACUGACGCUGAGGCGCGAAAGUGUGGGGAGCAAACAGGAUUAGAUACCCUGGUAGUCCGCACGGUAAACGAUGGAUGCCCGCUGUUGGUCUGAACAGGUCAGCGGCCAAGCGAAAGCAUUAAGCAUCCCACCUGGGGAGUACGCCGGCAACGGUGAAACUCAAAGGAAUUGACGGGGGCCCGCACAAGCGGAGGAACAUGUGGUUUAAUUCGAUGAUACGCGAGGAACCUUACCCGGGCUUGAAUUGCAGAGGAAGGAUUUGGAGACAAUGACGCCCUUCGGGGUCUCUGUGAAGGUGCUGCAUGGUUGUCGUCAGCUCGUGCCGUGAGGUGUCGGCUUAAGUGCCAUAACGAGCGCAACCCCUCUCCUUAGUUGCCAUCAGGUUAAGCUGGGCACUCUGGGGACACUGCCACCGUAAGGUGUGAGGAAGGUGGGGAUGACGUCAAAUCAGCACGGCCCUUACGUCCGGGGCUACACACGUGUUACAAUGGCAGGUACAGAGAGACGGUUGUACGUAAGUACGAUCAAAUCCUUAAAGCCUGUCUCAGUUCGGACUGGGGUCUGCAACCCGACCCCACGAAGCUGGAUUCGCUAGUAAUCGCGCAUCAGCCAUGGCGCGGUGAAUACGUUCCCGGGCCUUGUACACACCGCCCGUCAAGCCAUGAAAGCCGGGGGCGCCUAAAGUCCGUGACCGUAAGGAGCGGCCUAGGGCGAAACUGGUAAUUGGGGCUAAGUCGUAACAAGGUA